rnacentral:rRNA from 1 species
UACGGGGGGGGCAAGCGUUGUUCGGAAUUACUGGGCGUAAAGGGCUCGUAGGCGGCCAACUAAGUCAGACGUGAAAUCCCUCGGCUUAACCGGGGAACUGCGUCUGAUACUGGAUGGCUUGAAUCCGGGAGAGGGAUGCGGAAUUCCAGGUGUAGCAGUGAAAUGCGUAGAUAUCUGGAGGAACACCGGUGGCGAAGGCGGCGCACUGGACCACAACUGACGCUGAGGCGCGAAAGCUAGGGGAGCAAACAGG